GAGCAAAGAAAAACCCGUUGUCAAGAGCUACCUCUUUGCUGAUGUGCUAACUAAAUUUUGGAGGUAAAUUCGCAGCAUGACUAAUUUAGCCACCGCUGUCAGUAAACUUCAGACAACA
rnacentral:snoRNA from 1 species